rnacentral:rRNA from 1 species
CGAGCGGAAGAUGGGAGCUUGCUCCCUGAUGUUAGCGGCGGACGGGUGAGUAACACGUGGGUAACCUGCCUGUAAGACUGGGAUAACUCCGGGAAACCGGGGCUAAUACCGGAUGGUUGUUUGAACCGCAUGGUUCAAACAUAAAAGGUGGCUUCGGCUACCACUUACAGAUGGACCCGCGGCGCAUUAGCUAGUUGGUGAGGUAACGGCUCACCAAGGCAACGAUGCGUAGCCGACCUGAGAGGGUGAUCGGCCACACUGGGACUGAGACACGGCCCAGACUCCUACGGGAGGCAGCAGUAGGGAAUCUUCCGCAAUGGACGAAAGUCUGACGGAGCAACGCCGCGUGAGUGAUGAAGGUUUUCGGAUCGUAAAGCUCUGUUGUUAGGGAAGAACAAGUACCGUUCGAAUAGGGCGGUACCUUGACGGUACCUAACCAGAAAGCCACGGCUAACUACGUGCCAGCAGCCGCGGUAAUACGUAGGUGGCAAGCGUUGUCCGGAAUUAUUGGGCGUAAAGGGCUCGCAGGCGGUUUCUUAAGUCUGAUGUGAAAGCCCCCGGCUCAACCGGGGAGGGUCAUUGGAAACUGGGGAACUUGAGUGCAGAAGAGGAGAGUGGAAUUCCACGUG